GUCCAGCCUGCCCAGUGACUACAAGUUCAACGGCCGCGGUAUUUUGACCGUGCAAAGGUAGCGCAAUCACUUGUCUUUUAAAUAAAGACCUGUAUGAAUGGCUAAACGAGGGCUUAACUGUCUCCCCUUUCAAGUCAGUGAAAUUGAUCUGCCCGUGCAGAAGCGGGUAUAAUUAUACAAGACGAGAAGACCCUUUGGAGCUUAAGGUACAAAACUCAACCACGUUAAGCAACUCAGUAAAAAGCAAAAACUUUAUGGAAUAUGAUAUUUUACCUUCGGUUGGGGCGACCACGGAAGAAAAAAGAUCCUCCGAGUGGACCGGGACAAACCUCCUAAAACCAAGAGACACAACUCUUAGCCACAUAACAUCUGACCAAACAUGAUCCGGGCAUAAAAGCCGAUCAACGAACCAAGCUACCCUUAGGAUUACAGCGCAGUCCUCUUCUAGAAUACAUAUCGACGAGCGGGUUUACGACCUCCAUGUUGGAUCAGGACAUCCUAAUGGUGCAG
rnacentral:rRNA from 1 species